ACCUCGCGGCAGUGGACAGAUACUCCGGGUGGCUGUUUGUCGCCGACCUCGGUGUAAGCGCCCCCGCUUACACCGGUCCGAAGGACGAUAGAAGGCGUCAUGACGAGCGCACUCGCUACGCGACUUAGCGUAAAUGGACGGCACGGGAAAAGGGCUUUCGGCGGUACCCGGCUUUUUGAUGUCGUGUUCAGAGCCGUGCGGCGGAACGGGCUUACCCAGGACACCAACAACGGCCAGCUGGAGGUGGCGCCACGAAAGUGGUUUACGGGUGCCAGGAACCGCGACGGAGGCCGCCAGGAGAGGACACCAGCUGGAGUUUAAGCGGAGGAGCAGAUGAGAGAAGAAGUCUAGAGAUGAACAGAAGAGAGGAGAGAGUUUAAACAGCAUUUUUGUGUUUAUCGAUAAUAUAAAUAUUGAUCACUGA
rnacentral:lncRNA from 1 species